rnacentral:rRNA from 1 species
CCUACGGGAGGCAGCAGUGGGGAAUAUUGGGCAAUGGACGCAAGUCUGACCCAGCAAAGCCGCGUGAAGGAAGAAGGCUUUCGGGUUGUAAACUUCUUUUAAGGGGGAAGAGCAGAAGACGGUACCUCUUGAAUAAGCCACGGCUAACUACGUGCCAGAAGCCGCGGUAAUACGUAGGGGGCAAGCGUUGUCCGGAUUUACUGGGGGUAAAGGGCGUGCAGCCGGAGAGACAAGUCAGAUGGGAAAUCCGCGGGCCUAACCCGUGAACUGCAUUUGAAACUGUUUCCCUUGAGUGUCGGAGAGGUAAUCGGAAUUCGUUGUGUAGCGGUGAAAUGCGUAGAUAUAAGGAAGAACACCAGUGGCGAAGGCGGAUUACUGGACGAUAACUGACGGUGAGGCGCGAAAGCGUGGGGAGCAAACAGGAUUAGAUACCCUUGUAGUC